rnacentral:tRNA from 1 species
GCAAAAAGAUGCAAAAACCUUGCUUUGGUCUUAAAAACCAAUGUACGGCAGUGAUGUCGUAGGCAGAUUCGACUCCUGUACACUUCCGCCA